rnacentral:rRNA from 1 species
GUUGUAUGGUUAAGUGACUAAGCGUACACGGUGGAUGCCUUGGCAGUUGGAGGCGAUGAAGGACGUAUUAACUUGCGAUAAGCCUAGUCAAGCUAGUAAAAAGCACUUGAGACUAGGAUUUCCGAAUGGGGAAACCCACCUGCUUGCAGGUAUCGUUAACUGAAUACAUAGGUUAACGAGGCGAACGCGGAGAACUGAAACAUCUAAGUACCCGUAGGAAAAGAAAUCAACC